AAGGAUUCAAAAUUUCUCAUGUGGCAAAGGAAAAUGGAGGGAACACUAAAAUGCACACAUGAGGGAUGCGUGAGAAGAGAAGCAAAACCUAGGCCCUAUUACAAAUUUCCAUGGCACACUAAAAUGCUUCUUGCACAACUUCUCAUCAUAUAUUAGAACCCGUAAAUCCGGUGAUAAUUUCUUAGGGAAGGUAGCACUCCGACGAUAAACUCAAAGCCGAAG
rnacentral:lncRNA from 1 species